rnacentral:rRNA from 1 species
GACGAACGCUGGCGGCGUGCCUAAUACAUGCAAGUCGAACGCAGUGGGGCCGGGUGAGUAACACGUGGGUCACCUCCCAUCAGAGGGGAUAACACUUGGAAACAGGUGCUAAACCGAUACUGAUGGAUGGACCCGCGGUGCAUUAGCUAGUUGGUGAGGUAACGGCGCACCAAGGCCGCGAUGCUUAGCCGGCCGGGAGGGGUGAUAGGCGACAGUGGGACUGAGACACGGCCCAGAGUCCUGCGGGAGGCAGCAGUAGGGAAUCUUCGGCAAUGGACGAAAGUCUGACCGAGCAACGCCGCGUGAGUGAAGAAGGUUUUCGGAUCGUGAAGCUCUGUUGUUAGAGAAGCGGUAUCUAACCAGAAAGCCACGGCUAACUACGUGCCAGCAGCCGCGGUAAUUC